CAUACUCCUUUCUUCUUAUUAUUGUCUGCCUUUUUUGCCCCCCAAUGUUCUUCAAUCAAUUUCUUGAACCCCUCUUCGCCAAGCUAGUGAUCGUACAGUUUAAAAGGUCUCGACCCCUAGUUAAUUUCCUUAGAACUAACUUUAAUUAGACAAUGAUCCAAAAUUGAGUAAGAGAGACAUGACUAAAUAACAUUAUUGAAGCAACUUAAAAAAUCUACAUUGAAUAAAAUGUUGGCUCCAUUAGUUUUUGAUGAUAAUAAAACAUUCUCAUUCAUUUGUGUCUAAUAUUUCUACGUAAGUGUGCAGGAUAAGAAUUGUAUGCCAAUGAUAAACAAAUUAUUUCAAGGGACAUAAAAAAUUAUAUGUAUAAGAAGCCACAAUUAAUCAACAAAACAGAAGCUCCUUAGUUGAAUAAUAAAUGGUUCGUCAGCUAAAAUUCAAAUCAAAAGUUGGCGGGCUUAAGAGUAUUGAGAAACAGAAAAGACUUACUUAACCAAAAAAUGGGUCAGUAGACUAAAAGCCUAAUGCCAGAAAUCUGGACUUCAAGAUAGAACCAACUUAAUCGACUAAGGAGUAAGUUAGUCGACUAAGUGCUCACUGCCAAAAGCAGAGAACAAAAGACAGAAACAACUUAGUUGACUAAGAUAUCAGUUAGUCGACUAAGAGCAUUUUGUCAGAAAAUUUGAAUUGUGCACUAGAAAACAAAUUAACGGCCAUAACUGCUACCAAACUGUUUCCAACGGUCAAAAACUGCCUAACACCUAUCGGAGUUGAUUUCUUAAGUAUUUAAGAGGCUCCCAACAGUUAGAAAUGCAAUCAAGGCUUCCAAGUCCAAAAAGAGCUCAAAAAUUGUAAAAAUCUUCAGCAUACUUUCUGCACUUCACUCUUAUCCUUAUAAAAUGUUCAAGCACUUCACUUUGUACCACUUAGAUCAAGUCAGUGAUCAUAGGUACACCUUUAUUUCUCUUCUUCUUAUAUACUUAGAGUGUGUGAGACACUCUAAGGGAAUUUAUUCAAGCUUGGAUUACUUGAUUGGGCGUAUAGGUUCUAACUUAGCCUAGAAAAGUUAGUUGUUGGGUUUUGGUUGAUCUCGGUAAAAACCAUUGUGAAAGGUUUUGGCUAAGCCUGGUAAAAGCCAUUGUAAAAGCUUGGUGAAAGCUUGUGAAUUUCACCUUUCAUAGUGGAUUGGUUUGGAAAAUCCUUGGUUAAACAAUCAAGGUAGUGGAUUUAGGUCUUGGACUGAACCACUAUAAAUUCUGGUGUGAUUGUCUGCUCUGUUUUUAGUUUUUCACUCAUAUUUAAAUCUCUCUUUUAUCUUGCAUUUUUCUUCAAUUAGAAGUUAAUUCUUGUAAGAGCCAAAAUGUCAUGACUCGGUACUCCCCUCGAGCAAGUGACAACCGUCGCGGUGUCCCGAUCGACACUCAUUACUCGGAAUGUUAACCGAAACCCCGCAAGACUUUAAUAUCAGUUUCUCAUUUCCCCUAUGAGUAACCGUUGCCAAAUAUCAUGGUCUAAAAGAUUUUAAAUUGUUUCCAACUUAAAUCAAUAAAAAAAAUGAUUUCUGUCUCACAGGGGCAUUUUGGUCAUUUUUCCUUAAAAAUCUCGAAACCAGCUGAAAAUGUAGUAUGCAAGUGUAAAACACAUAUUUCAUAAUCAAAAAUAAGUUUAAAUAUCUAAAACAUUCAUUUAAAGUAAAAUUAUAACUAUUUGAAUAUAAUAAAAAUAUUCAAUAAAAUAUUCUAUUUUCUUGUAAAACAAUAUUUAUAGAGUUACCGGUAAAUAAUUUUUGUAGCGUAAAAGCUAAAUAAAUUCAUACAUAUUGUAAUACAGAUAACCAAAGUACAAAAUUUAAUUUACAAUUACACGUGGGCCCAUGAAUGAUCAAAAGUAUCAAAAGCGGUAAACCUACAGUUUUUGAGGAUGCAAGUCCAACUGUAGCCCUCAACAAAGUGAGCUAU
rnacentral:lncRNA from 1 species